GGCGAUCAGAUACCGCCCUAGUUCUGACCGUAAACGAUGCCAACUAGCGAUCCGCCAGUCGACUCAUCGCUCUGGUGGGGAGCUUCCCGGAAACGAAAGUCUUCCGGUUCCGGGGGAAGUAUGGUUGUAAAGCUGAAACUUAAAGGAAUUGACGGAAGGGCACCACCAGGAGUGGAGCCUGCGGCUUAAUUUGACUCAACACGGGGAAACUCACCCGGCCCGGACACCGUAAGGAUUGACAGAUUGAUAGCUUUUUCAUGAUUCGGUGGAUGGUGGUGCAUGGCCGUUCUUAGUUCGUGGAGCGAUUUGUCUGGUUUAUUCCGAUAACGAGCGAGACUCUGGCCUACUAAAUAGUUGGCACAUUGCCACUGUGUGCACAACUUCUUAGAGGGAUUUUCGGUGUUCAGCCGCACGAAAUUGAGCAAUAACAGGUCUGUGAUGCCCUUAGAUGUCCGGGGCUGCACGCGCGCUACACUGGCAAAAUCAGCGUGCUUGUCCUCCCCCGAAAGGGAUUGGUAAACCGAUGAAAAUUUGCCGUGAUUGGGAUCGGACAUUGCAAUUAUUGUCCGUGAACGAGGAAUCCCUUGUAAGGGCGAGUCAUCAACUCGUCCUGAAUACGUCCCUGCCCUUGUA
rnacentral:rRNA from 1 species